CUGCGUGUAUGCGCCUCUGCGUCUGUAUAUACGUGUUGCUUCCGCAGUGACGGCGGUGUGUACUCCACCACGGCGAAGCAGCGCAAAAGCCAACAAAAAGAGACAGAGUCGGCGCUGAGGACGUAGACGCUCUCGCCUACGGGUACUUGGCAUCAGCGACAAGGAAAGGCAACACAAGACAUUCUCGGUUGCGCGCGGUUCAGCGCUUGACGCCGGCGCUCUCAGACGUACACACACACACACACAUACACAUACACGGUGCUAGCAGGGAGGGGAGGGGUGUAGAUCAGUGGUGCUAUAGUUUCUUGUAAAUACGCUCUGCGCCGCACCCGUGCAAGACAGCGGUGCGGGUUUGCGCGCGCGUGCUCUGCGGGCGUAUCGCGACUUCAUCACCUCGCGUUUGUCUUCUCAGAGGCGAAGGGGAAUGGGGGCGGGCGGGUGAUCGUCCACCCUUGUCUUCCUCAUUCACGUUCUACGCCGUGUUUGUUACUCUUUUUCUUUUUUUUUUCGUGUAAUCGACCUUAGAACGCGAAUGUCCACCUAUGAGUGGGUGAUCGAGCAGGAGAGCCCUGACGGCGUGACUACACGUGUCGUGUUCGACUUCGCCGAUGUCAAUACCGACAGCCACGGAAAUGGCGGCCGCUCGAACAUGUCUUCGUCGUCCUACCACCUGCAGCACCGCCGCGAUGGACGCGGGCGAGGCUUGAGCGGCGGCACACCGUCGGCCGCCGGUGUCUUUGCUUUCAAGGAAGUCGCUCGCUCUGAGGAAGGCAGCAGUCUGCGCAGCAGUAAGCACAGUAGCUGCAGCCGCUCGCGCCGUCGACGUCAGCACCACCUCGGCACCUCCGGCAAGGGCGGCAGAGAAAGCGUCAUCGGCACGAUGGUAGGGCCGGGCGGCUCCGCGUACACAUCGACGUCUGUGCGGCAGCGCUACCAGCGCAUGCUGUUUGGCGGUGUUCUUGGUGGGAGAGCGGCGACUGUUGCUGGUGUCUCGCGAACCACAACGGCCACGCCGGACGCCUCCGCCUCCGUGUUUGCUUCAGGACUUGCGUCGUCUUAUCGGAUCGACCCAAGCGCCGGCCUCAAUGGCGACACCCACUCUUUCAGUUCCAGCCCGCUUCGCGGCACCACCGCUGGUGGCCAGCCACCCAGCACCCUAUUUAUGUCCGCCUACGGUGCAGAAAUGGUGGACGAGGACGAGAAUCAAUGCAGCAGCGGUUGCCUGGGCCGGCGGAACCGCUGCAGCACAAGGAGGGGUAGCAGCAGUCACGACGGAGGCGUGUCGAGCGUGGCGUGCGCUAGCGCUGCCUGUGACCGGAAUGCUGCAGCACCACAGCACGCGGCUUGUGGCAUGCGCACCGCCGGUGACACCCCUCGGCGGUCCUCUGUGCUGACUGCAGCCGCCACGACGGCAGCUACCGCGCCGCCUUCGUCUUGUCGUCACCGCCGCGUUGCGGCACACGAGGAUAGCGACGAUGACGACCUCACGAGCGACACUGGCAUAAUCAAUGGGGACGGCUCGUAUUACGUGCUGCGCGACGUGUGGGCGGCACGGGCCACGUGCCCUCGCACCAUCACAACAGCUCGCGCGGCCGACUUCCCUGCGUUUCCGCCACUGCACCCCAUCAGCGUGGAAAAGGAAGAGGAGCCAGCGAAGACGCUGACUGAGUGCUGUGGUCACCCCGCCGGUGGCACCGAUGCCCGCGAUGUGCUCAGUCGUAUUGCAGAUGCCAAGGCCACGCAGCGGGCGCCGGUCUCCCUCGCACCAAGCCAGGAGAACAUCCGUCAACAGGCCAAAGCAGAUGCAGCGGAGGAGCACCGGCGGUACAACAAGAUGCUGCUCAAGAAAGAGCGCCAGUGGCGACGCGAUCGAGGGUGGCAGCCAACGGGGUCAAGUGGGGACGGCACGGUCAGCUGUAGGACGCACGGCUGGUACGCGGGCGAAAGCAGCCGAGGUCUCCGUGAUGGCGCGUCUGCCGGUACCGGUCGGCGCGGUCGUCGAGAGCGCGCCGUGGCCGUGCGAGGCAGAUUGGACGCCUACGAGCCUAGAAGUAGCAGCACCACCGACACUAAUGAAGAUGACGCGGACGACGAGAGCUGCGACACCUCGUCUCUCUCCUCAUUGGAGUGUCUGAGCACCUCGAGCGAUGGCUUCGACGUGCGCGAGCUGCGGGCGGACUCGGCCUUCGCAGCUACCGUGCGGUCUCUGGCGAGCCGAGCAGAGCGGGAGCGCAAGAAGAUGGAGGCGCGGGAAGAGCAGAUGCUCUGGAGUGAGGCUGCGCAAAACAAGGCGACGUCAAUCGCGCAACGAUCGCCGCUGCACUCACCAGCUACCCUCCGUGGCUUGAUGUCUUCAGCAGACGGCGCUGCCGCCACGACGCCAGCGUUGCCGCCAUCAUUGGCCACCGUACUGCGUCGUGGAGACGCCGUGUCUGCUGGCGGGUCAAUCAGAAAUGGCGUCGGGAGUGGCAACGCUGGUCGCAGCGGCGCUGUCUCGUCGUUCUUUAUUUCACCAAUUCACCAGUCUGUGGCAGCAGAGUCGGCGGCAUGGACGGCGGGUACGGGGUUCGAGUUUCUGGGGCAAGGUGGCCUUGGCGGCAACGACACCACGUCAUCGUCCUCGUUGCCCACCUCACGGCCGGCGCCGUGGCAGCGCCGUAGCAGCGCCUCCACACCUGCAGGGGCCACCAUGAGUCGACGUCGCGAGCGGUCAGAAGACAACGAAGACGGUUACGCGGAGGAGCUCAAAGAGUCGUGCGACGGGGUUGCAUCAUCUUCCGCGACGCACGCGAUCGCUGCUGAUGCUCAAGCCAGCGCCCACCGUGCUCGCAAGAAGCGUAAGCGAGGCGAUCGCGCUCGGCAGUCCGUCGUCGGCGAGUGUGGCGGCAGCCGCGCGUUGCGCCCCGUCGCCGCCCCGUCGAACGGCCCUCCGCUGGAGAUCUUGCCGUGCAGCAAGAUGGAUAUGCGGGAAGACCUCCUCGAGUCGUUUCUGAUGGAGGCGAUGCUGGACGAGGACGACUUUGCGCUUUACUAAUGCAGCGCUCGCGGGGUCGGAGGGUGGGAUAGAGGGGGCCGUGCGGCUCGGCGGUGACGGCGGCAUUACCGCAGAGUCUUGCGCCUUGGACCUCCUCUGCACCCAAGUGCGUGAGUGUGUGUGUGUGUGUGUGGGCGUGCUUCUCCUUCAGUGCUGCGUUGCACGUUUCUUGGUUACAUCUUUUUCCGCGUGUGGACAACGGAUUCGAUUUGGAGGAAGUCACGAGAGGCUGACCAAGAACUAAACCACCGGCAAAGGCAAUGGCGUGCAGCGAUGGAAAAGACAGUGCCUGUGUAACGGCGGUGCAUGCACCUAUUUUGUGUGUAUUUGUGUGCGUGUGUGUGUGUGCACGGGAGAGUAAGGGAGGGGAGGUGCUCGGACGGCCUCGAGAAAAGGCGGACUCGCUCCCCCCGCCUUCCUUUUCCCUUUCCUCGCCUCUUCUCGCCUUCUGCGCGGAGCACGAAGAGGAGACGGGUGGACUCACGACGAUGGAGUCAAUCAGGAAGACUUCCGCUGCUCGUGCUCCUUUCUGCCUUUACAUACACACAAACGCACAACUCUCUCUUUCUCGCUUCUCGAUAAUGUCGCGCGCGGUGCACCGUCUCCGUCCUCUGCUUGUUUGUUAUGCGGCAACGGAGCGCGCGCAUGCAUGCAUGCCCAUGAAG
rnacentral:misc_RNA from 1 species